rnacentral:rRNA from 1 species
AUUGAACGCUGGCGGCAUGCUUUACACAUGCAAGUCGAACGGUAACAGGCCUUCGGGUGCUGACGAGUGGCGAACGGGUGAGUAAUGCAUCGGAACGUGCCCAGAGGUGGGGGAUAACGCAGCGAAAGCUGUGCUAAUACCGCAUGUGAUCUGAGGAUGAAAGCGGGGGACCAAGCAGCAAUGUUUGGCCUCGCGCCUCUGGGGCGGCCGAUGUCAGAUUAGGUAGUUGGUGGGGUAAAGGCCUACCAAGCCGACGAUCUGUAGCUGGUCUGAGAGGACGACCAGCCACACUGGGACUGAGACACGGCCCAGACUCCUACGGGAGGCAGCAGUGGGGAAUUUUGGACAAUGGGCGCAAGCCUGAUCCAGCAAUGCCGCGUGCGGGAAGAAGGCCUUCGGGUUGUAAACCGCUUUUGUACGGAACGAAAAGGCUCUGGCUAAUACCUGGGGCUGAUGACGGUACCAUAAGAAUAAGCACCGGCUAACUACGUG